GUCGCAUGUGGUUUUUUGAGCAGAUGUGGCCUGGUUUUGUGAGGUUUUUUGCAGCAUCUUUGCAUUUCUGAGAGUCUUUUUAUCAUUUGACUGAGUGGGCAUGUUGGUUUCCUCAGAAGUCUUUUGAGUUUGUUUAGGUGAUUCUCAUACUUGAAAGCACUGAAGUUGUCAAGGACACCAUGCUUUUUCCCAUCAUCUGCAAGAUGUACAAGGCAGAGUGCAUUGUAGGACAAGAAUUGUGGACCAUACAGUUGACCAAAGUGAGAGACAAAGAGCACCACCUACAAGUCAGAGGACCCAUCUUAAGCCACAAGAGAAGAAGCCGUCUCAUGAUUCCGAGGCACACAAGGUGCAUGUAGUCGAGGGGGAAACCAGAGACCAUGUUUAGGGAUGUUUCUUCAAGAGGUACAAACCAUCCUGUGUGCAUUUUUCACAUCCGUGAUAGCCUGUGUGACCUUUAACAUUUUUCAGGAAUGCACGGGCAGGUGCAUCACAGACCAUCGAAGAGAUGUCCCUAGGAUGGGCCAGAACUGUGUUGCUGAGCUCUUAUAGAGAGGCAAACCAUCAAUGCUGACCUGAAGCUCCAGCAUGUGAAUGUUGCGCAGAAUGUCAACAUUCAGAUGUAGCACCUCUGCAAUUGAAUUCAGCACUCCGAAAUGGCAUUCGAUUGGCUGGUAGGUGCUGAUGUCGCGCUGCAAGAACAACAUGGCACGGGUUCAAAGCUUUA